GCCACGCUAUCCCUGAAUCUGAAGCACAGGAAGGGCCAAAGAUAGAAGCAGGAGUGGUGUGCAAGUCUAAUGCAGGUUACAGAGCUGGCAUGUGUUAAAGAUGAAGAGGUCCCUCAACAGGAAUGUGUUCCUAUUAAAGAGGAAUUCAUAGAGCAGGAAUGUGUCCCCAUCGCAGAGGAACUUCCUCAUGAAAAUCAUGUCUGUACACUUGAGGAGAACAACAAGCUGGGAUCCAACCUGUGUGAUGACUCUCCAUCUGAAUGUGAACUGGGAUUUAGAGCUUCUAAAGUAGAUGAAGGAGAACACGACUCCACUCUAUCACCCCAGUGCAAAAACGCUUCUAGAGGCAAACCACAGUGCAAGAAACACAGAGAAACAACACCCCAAGAAGAAAAUGUGAAGACAUUGAGAACUCACUCAGUUACAAUUCCUUCUUUACAAGACAGACACCCACUUACUGUGGAGCGUACAGAGACGGCACAUUCUGUAUGUUUUAACAAUUCUGAAACCCAGGGCAACUUGAAGACCUUGCCUCAUACUAUUAAAGGUGGGAAGAGUUCCUGUCAAUUAGAUGUUCCUAAAACUCACAACGGAAAUCCCACAGGAGGGACUCCGUGUUCCUGGGCUGAUUGUGGGAAGAGUUUCAAUCAUAUAUCACUGCUUAAAAGGCACCAGCGCAUUCACACAGGAGAGAAACGUUAUCACUGUGCUGUUUGUGGGAAGAGAUUCAGUCAGUUAGGAAACCGCACAAGACACCAUAACAUUCACACAUAUGUGUAAUCCUAUCCCUGCACUUAGUGUGAAGAAGUUAAGUCAGUUGCAGGCUCUUACAGGACUUGAGAACAUUCUCAGAAAUGCAGACACUUGGGGACACCUAAACAACAGGAGUGCAUUCGACUAAAUACAGAAAUAUUAACUGAAAACAAAAGAAUAAACUUGCUUGAUAAAUAGGGUCACCCCUAAUCACAAUCUGUUCAGAUCAAAAACUCACCAAAAUCUGUGUUCAUCAUGUUGUUGAGCAUUCUGAUUGUGUUACAUCACAUUAGUAAUAUAUUAAAUAGAUUGUUAUUAUGA